rnacentral:rRNA from 1 species
UACGGGGGGGGUAAGCGUUGUUCGGAAUUACUGGGCGUAAAGGGCUCGUAGGCGGCCAACUAAGUCAUACGUGAAAUCCCUCAGCUUAACUGGGGAACUGCGUGUGAUACUGGAUGGCUUGGAUUUGGGAGAGGGAUGCGGAAUUCCAGGUGUAGCGGUGAAAUGCGUAGAUAUCAGGAGGAACACCCGUGGCGAAGGCGAAUCUCUGGACCGGUUCUGACGCUGAGGAGCGAAAGCUAGGGGAGCAAACAGG